CUUGCCCAAAGUUCUAUUCCCUUUGGGUCUUAUAUGACUCCUUAAGUGCACUCUACCAUGUCUGGACUUGACAAAAGGACCCUAAGUUCCUAAUUAAAGUCAAAGGUACAAAUGACAGACCAAAACACAUUAUUGCUUAGGUAGUUUAGAAUUCACAAGAAGGAGAAAGGGCAGGAAGAGACUUUUCACUAUGUAUCUAUUUAUAUUCUUUGAUUUUUGAGCAAGAUAACUGUUAACCUACUCAAAAAUAUUUUUAAUUAUUCUGAAAAAUGCAUAGUAAAAAUAGGAAUUGCCAGGGGGAACUUCCUGGAAGAAAUGAGCCUCAUCUAGACUAGUGCAAGGGGUGAAGAUCAACAGCAAAGGGCAGGGAACUCAUUCCAGAUGAAAAAAAGGAAGGAGUAAGCCGACAAACGCAGACUGCAGGGAACUGCGGACAGACGGGGUGAAGAGGC
rnacentral:lncRNA from 1 species